UACAGAGGGGGCAAGCGUUGUUCGGAAUUACUAGGCGUAAAGGGCGCGUAGGCGGCCUGCUAAGUCGAACGUGAAAUCCCUGGGCUCAACCCAGGAACUGCGUCCGAUACUGGUUGGCUUGAAUCCGGGAGAGGGAUGUGGAAUUCCAGGUGUAGCGGUGAAAUGCGUAGAUAUCUGGAGGAACACCGGUGGCGAAGGCGACAUCCUGGACCGGUAUUGACGCUGAGGCGCGAAAGCUAGGGGAGCAAACGGG
rnacentral:rRNA from 1 species